rnacentral:rRNA from 1 species
AUGAACGCUAGCUACAGGCUUAACACAUGCAAGUCGAGGGGCAGCAUGGUCUUAGCUUGCUAAGGCCGAUGGCGACCGGCGCACGGGUGAGUAACACGUAUCCAACCUGCCGUCUACUCUUGGACAGCCUUCUGAAAGGAAGAUUAAUACAAGAUGGCAUCAUGAGUCCGCAUGUUCACAUGAUUAAAGGUAUUCCGGUAGACGAUGGGGAUGCGUUCCAUUAGAUAGUAGGCGGGGUAACGGCCCACCUAGUCUUCGAUGGAUAGGGGUUCUGAGAGGAAGGUCCCCCACAUUGGAACUGAGACACGGUCCAAACUCCUACGGGAGGCAGCAGUGAGGAAUAUUGGUCAAUGGGCGAGAGCCUGAACCAGCCAAGUAGCGUGAAGGAUGACUGCCCUAUGGGUUGUAAACUUCUUUUAUAAAGGAAUAAAGUCGGGUAUGGAUACCCGUUUGCAUGUACUUUAUGAAUAAGGAUCGGCUAACUCCGUGCCAGCAGCCGCGGUAAUACGGAGGAUCCGAGCGUUAUCCGGAUUUAUUGGGUUUAAAGGGAGCGUAGAUGGAUGUUUAAGUCAGUUGUGAAAGUUUGCGGCUCAACCGUAAAAUUGCAGUUGAUACUGGAUAUCUUGAGUGCAGUUGAGGCAGGCGGAAUUCGUGGUGUAGCGGUGAAAUGCUUAGAUAUCACGAAGAACUCCGAUUGCGAAGGCAGCCUGCUAAGCUGCAACUGACAUUGAGGCUCGAAAGUGUGGGUAUCAAACAGGAUUAGAUACCCUGGUAGUCCACACGGUAAACGAUGAAUACUCGCUGUUUGCGAUAUACUGCAAGCGGCCAAGCGAAAGCGUUAAGUAUUCCACCUGGGGAGUACGCCGGCAACGGUGAAACUCAAAGGAAUUGACGGGGGCCCGCACAAGCGGAGGAACAUGUGGUUUAAUUCGAUGAUACGCGAGGAACCUUACCCGGGCUUAAAUUGCAGAUGAAUUACGGUGAAAGCCGUAAGCCGCAAGGCAUCUGUGAAGGUGCUGCAUGGUUGUCGUCAGCUCGUGCCGUGAGGUGUCGGCUUAAGUGCCAUAACGAGCGCAACCCUUGUUGUCAGUUACUAACAGGUUCCGCUGAGGACUCUGACAAGACUGCCAUCGUAAGAUGUGAGGAAGGUGGGGAUGACGUCAAAUCAGCACGGCCCUUACGUCCGGGGCCACACACGUGUUACAAUGGGGGGUACAGAGGGCCGCUACCACGCGAGUGGAUGCCAAUCCCCAAAACCUCUCUCAGUUCGGACUGGAGUCUGCAACCCGACUCCACGAAGCUGGAUUCGCUAGUAAUCGCGCAUCAGCCACGGCGCGGUGAAUACGUUCCCGGGCCU